rnacentral:rRNA from 1 species
UACGAAGGGGGCUAGCGUUGCUCGGAAUCACUGGGCGUAAAGGGUGCGUAGGCGGGUCUUUAAGUCAGGGGUGAAAUCCUGAGGCUCAACCUCAGAACUGCCUUUGAUACUGAGGGUCUCGAGACCGGUAGAGGUAAGUGGAACUGCGAGUGUAGAGGUGAAAUUCGUAGAUAUUCGCAAGAACACCAGUGGCGAAGGCGGCUUACUGGACCGGUUCUGACGCUGAGGCGCGAAAGCGUGGGGAGCAAACAGG